rnacentral:rRNA from 1 species
GAUGAACGCUGGCGGCGUGCCUAAUACAUGCAAGUCGAGCGAACGGACGAGAAGCUUGCUUCUCUGAUGUUAGCGGCGGACGGGUGAGUAACACGUGGAUAACCUACCUAUAAGACUGGGAUAACUUCGGGAAACCGGAGCUAAUACCGGAUAAUAUUUUGAACCGCAUGGUUCAAAAGUGAAAGACGGUCUUGCUGUCACUUAUAGAUGGAUCCGCGCUGCAUUAGCUAGUUGGUAAGGUAACGGCUUACCAAGGCAACGAUGCAUAGCCGACCUGAGAGGGUGAUCGGCCACACUGGAACUGAGACACGGUCCAGGCUCCUACGGGAGGCAGCAGUAGGGAAUCUUCCGCAAUAGGCGAAAGCCUGGCGGAGCAACGCCGCGUGAGUGAUGACGGUCUUCGGAUCGUAAAACUCUGUUAUUAGGGAAGAACAUAUGUGUAAGUAACUGUGCACAUCUUGACGGUACCUAAUCAGAAAGCCACGGCUAACUACGUG